rnacentral:misc_RNA from 1 species
AACGCACAUUGCGGCCACGGGUAUUCCCGUGGCCAUGCCUGUUCGAGCGUCAUUUACACCCUCAAGCCUCGCUUGGUGUUGGGCGUCUGUCCCCCCCCGCGAUACCUCUCGCCGCGGGGACUCGCCUCAAAGUCAUCCCCACGCGCGGUUGGGACGGCACUUUCGCAGCACAUUUGCGCAAAGAAAGCCGGCCAAACCGGGCACGGGGCAACAAACCUUUCACGACUUGACCUCGGAUCAGGUAGGGAUACCCGCUGAACUUAA